UAUUUUUGCUGAGGUUUCUUUAAGAAACCCUAGCCGCCAAGAGGCGACUCCCUUCUCUCUUACGUGUAUCGCCAUUUUUGGCAAGUUCUCAGAGUAUCACAGGAAUGACAGUCGCAUUGGGUCUUUUUUGAGGAAAAGCAUUUAAUGCUUCUUCACCUUUCACCCGAUAUCAAGCCAAACGAGAAUGGGAGAUCAAACUCCAAAUGUGAUUGCUACUGCUACUGGCACACACCAAUCCCCGCAGUUGGCUCUACAAGCAAUGUUGCCUCCUCCAUCGUGUUGUCCCGGCACCGGCACCGGCUCCGGCAGAAAAGCCCGAAAAUUUUAUCGGCAGAUGUUUUUUUACUUGACUACUGUAAUAUCCCGUAAAUUCGAGUUAGGUGUGAAUGUCUAAAAAUUUAGUGUUAAGAUGAUAUUAUACCUAUACGAAUCCAUGCUUGAUGAAUUCGGGUGGAAGAUGGUCGUUUUGAAGCGAAACCAACAAUUGA